GGGGAAUUUUGCGCAAUGGGGGGAACCCUGACGCAGCAACGCCGCGUGCGGGACGAAGGCCUUCGGGUUGUAAACCGCUUUCAGCAGGGAAGACAUAGACGGUACCUGCAGAAGAAGCUCCGGCUAACUACGUGCCAGCAGCCGCGGUAAUACGUAGGGGGCGAGCGUUAUCCGGAUUCAUUGGGCGUAAAGCGCGCGUAGGCGGCCGCCUAAGCGGAACCUCUAAUCCCGGGGCUCAACCUCGGGCCGGGUUCCGGACUGGGCGGCUCGAGUGCGGUAGAGGCAGGCGGAAUUCCCGGUGUAGCGGUGGAAUGCGCAGAUAUCGGGAAGAACACCGAUGGCGAAGGCAGCCUGCUGGGCCGCCACUGACGCUGAGGCGCGAAAGCUGGGGGAGCGAAC
rnacentral:rRNA from 1 species